rnacentral:rRNA from 1 species
CCUACGGGAUGCACCAGUGGGGAAUAUCGCACAAUGGGCGCAAGCCUGAUGCAGCCACGCCGCGUGUAUGAAGAAGGCCUUAGGGUUGUAAAGUACUUUCAGUUGGGAGGAAGGCGUUGAUGCUAAUAUCAUCAGCGAUUGUCGUUACCAACAGAAGAAGCACCGGCUAACUCCGUGCCAGCAGCCGCGGUAAUACGGAGGGUGCAAGCGUUAAUCGGAAUUACUGGGCGUAAAGCGCACGCAGGCGGUUGAUUAAGUCAGAUGUGAAAUCCCCGGGCUUAACCUGGGAAUGGCAUCUAAGACUGGUCAGCUAGAGUCUUGUAGAGGGGGGUAGAAUUCCAUGUGUAGCGGUGAAAUGCGUAGAGAUGUGGAGGAAUACCGGUGGCGAAGGCAGCCCCCUGGACAAAGACUGACGCUCAGGUGCGAAAGCGUGGGGAGCAAACAGGAUUAGAUACCCCGGUAGUC